UACGGAGGCCCCAAGCGUUGUUCGGAUUUAUUGGGCGUAAAGGGUGCGUAGGCGGCAUUGUAAGUCUGGUGUGAAAGGCGUGGGCUCAACCUGCGGACUGCAUUGGAUACUGCGAUGCUAGAGGACUGGAGAGGAGAAUGGAAUUCACGGUGGAGCAGUGAAAUGCGUAGAUAUCGUGAGGAAGGCCAGUGGCGAAGGCGAUUCUCUGGACAGUUCCUGACACUGAGACACGAAGGCCAGGGGAGCAAACGGG
rnacentral:rRNA from 1 species